rnacentral:misc_RNA from 1 species
CGUAGAUGCGCUGUUGUUCAACUGAUUUUCAGUUGGGAGGGAAGGUGUGCCGUGUUGGCGGCCAGUGUAAAAAAGAGCUGUCGCUCAAAGUGCAAUGUUAAAAAUUCAACUGAAGUUUCAAAAUGAAAUAACACCAACAAUAGCAACAACCACAAACGUAUAGCAAUCAACCAACAAUAGCUUUAACAACAUAAGAAUAUUUAAUAUUUUCAAUUGCCAUCAACGCAAUUCCAUUUAAGUAAGAAAAAAACCAAAACACGACAACAACAAUAUAACGGUGUGCCUACAACAACAACAAUAGCAGGAGUACAAGAAACACUUUGUUUAGCGGUGAUAGUCACAGCAACAACAAUAACAACACUGGGGAACAAGCAGCAUUUGGUCGAACACGCGGGGUGGUGGACGGGCGUCUUGGGGUGAAACCGCAACCAAAUAGUUUCAACACCGUUUACCGGAAGUUGGAUUUUUCGUGAACGCAAAGUGGUAGACUUCAGAGCAUGGAUGCUACGACUGUUGAAUCUAUAAUCGCAAUGCCGCUGGGCGCCGCCAGCAACAGCAAUACCAACAUGAGUUGUGGCAGCAGCAGCAGCAGCAACAGCAGUGGCUAUGCGAGCGCCACUACCCCCACGAAUCCCGCCUCGGCCGGCAGUAGCAGCAGCCACAGCCAAUAUUCGGACUCGCAUUCCAACACACCGGUGGGCUUGGUCGAGCCGACACCUGUGGCCACGAUAGCUGCCGUAACGCCGUACUACAAUGAAACGUUCCAGCAGCAACACCACCAGCAACAACAACAACAUCAACCACAACUUCAUCAUCCACCACAUCCACAGUACCCACACCAAACACAUUCAUAUCAAUUAACGGAGCCCUUGCCCACAUCCUCGCAAUACGAUAACACCUACGAUUCGUACACUUAUCUCAGCGGUGGCGAAAGCUAUCAGCAGUCCAGUGGUGGGAGUGAACGCAAUUUAUUGGGCAUGCGGCAUGCUACAUCGCAUUAUACAACCUUGGAGAAGCCAAGUAAGCAGCCCACACAAACGGCUAUACAGCCUCACACUAAUACUGCCAAAAGCAACAAAAUUUACAAUAACAACAGCAGCGAAACCGCGCUCCGUUCUACAAAACGUAUUGGUGAGUCGAACACGGCCGCUAAACCGCAGGCCGCCGCAACGCCGUUCUAUGCGAAUUCAUUGCAAACGGGUGGUUCGGGCACCUAUGGGGACCCCAUCAAAUAUAGAAUGUCUACUGGCACCAAAUUGCCAACCCUUGGCGAUUAUCUGAACUACGGGAACCAACCAUUAGAUAUUAGCAACACAGGGAAUUAUACGCAAAGCUUUUCGCAGCAUCACGCAGGAAAACCGCUGCAGGACGUGCCGUAUGGUGCGAGUCCGACGCAAGUCAAAACAUUCAACAACAUGCCAAACACGCGCUUGCCGCAACAACGUCUGAGCAUGCAUUACGGCAAUACAGCAAUGCCUGUCGGCAUUCCUAUCGGCAAUGCGUCGAAUAACAGUAACGGCAGCAACAGCAGUAGCAGCAUUUAUAUCGAUAAGUAUGAUAAAUAUUUGUACAAUGCAGUGAGCACCGUGGCACAGUCACCGUACUAUACAACCACACCACCCGCCAACCUCUCAGCAAUGCCCUACAAUGCAGUACCGUACGCACCCGCGCCGCCUGCGUCUACGUCAGUCCCACCACAGUAUGCUGCUGAAAUUCCCAACGACGCCUACCGCAAGUCAUCGGCCACGUCGGCUUGGCACUGGAGCAUGGACUAUUCCAACGGUAAUUGUCGCACGCUGCCGCCGCCCAACGGCAUACCGACUGCCGCCAUACCGCCGACGAAUGCUAGCUAUGUACCGACUAACGCCACAGCCGCCGCCAAUCGUGAUAUAUACUAUAGUGCUGAGAAGUAUAGCAACAAAUAUGAUAAGUACAAUUCAUAUUAUAACCCACACCAACAGUAUAUGACGUCGAAUGCGACUGGACGUAGUGCCUGGUCGAAUUCGCCGCAUUCCUCAGCACACCUUGUACCCACACUAGCCGAACGUUUGUCACACCCUUAUCCACACCAUGCACCGCUAACUACGGGCGGCGUGCCAACCGCUUUGGCGCCGUCUGCACAUCCCUCCCUCGCAUAUCAUCAUCCCUACACGCCUUCCGCGGCUACAGCCACUGCGCGCCAAAAUUGUUGCUCACAAUUUCAACAACAAAACUGCUAUUAUCCUCGUACGGCACACCAUCCUCACCUUCCACCGAACACGUAUAGCCCACACUCGCAAACGCCACCGUACGGCACCAGCAGUACUGCAGUCGGCAGCGGUAACAGUCCUGUCAUCAAAUAUAACGUGCUAGAUUAUGGACCAGCCAACAAAUCAAAGGUGAAUACAAAUGAUGUCUACGCUGCAACGCCCGCAUACGAAGCGACGAAUAUGAAUUAUCAUUCCCAUCCGGCAGGUAUGGCUCACAAUGCUCAAUAUGGGAACGCUAUGGCACCUACUACCGUCGUUGCACAUCCACCGCUCAAUCGUAAUAUGACACCGGGUUCCCACAAUGACAUCACGACUGUUUAUUAUAAUGAUCUCAAUAUGCAAACCAACUAUGAUAACUAUAUGGGGCCUAUACAACCUACGCCGCUAGUUGAAGAACGACGUGAAAGUUUAGUCCAAAGAGUUGACCAUCUACCCAAUUUGCCACCACCCUACACGCAAUCUACUUCUACGAAGAAUUCGUUAAUCGACUAUCGGAAGCCCGCGGUCACACCAAAUGAUGACAGUUUCAUAGCAGAGCCAACGCUCACCAAUUUGGAUGAGCAUAUGGCUACCAAUAUGAGUCAGAACCAAUACGAUAAUAGCUAUGGUCUGACCAGAGCAUUGGAACCAAUCGACGACGGCAUGUAUGGCAAAGCAAUAACGCGUGAGAGUACAGUUAAGCCUGGUAACCCAACACCGACAACACCCACCACUAAAACCUACUCUAGUUUGCGUGAUUUUCUCAGCACAUGGAAUGAGGAUGAGGAGGAUUACGGUGGCGCUGAUGAGCUACAGUUUGUUGAGAACGCACCACCAGCGAUUGAUCAAGUCAUGCGUGCCGAAAACAAUACUAACUGUGUUGAAGUAAUAAAUAAAAUGUCGAGCUUGCAAGAACUUCCCACCGAAGCGAAUACACCAGCUGCCUAUGUUGGGGACUCCGCACCGCUAUAUAGGGCACAACCCCAACCCCUAGUUAUAAAUAACUUGCAAUUAAAAGAAGAUUAUUAUCAACACCCAAAGACUCAACCAAGCAUUGGCGCUGGUAGCACCGUUAAUAUGGAGGAAAGUCAGUAUGCAAAUAUAAACUUACCUGACAUUGUCAUCGAUAUUGAGAAGUCCGGUGGCGGAACACCAAAUAUAUCAGGCGCAACUAAGGCACCAAGCAACAACAAUGUUGUCGAAAAAUCCAAUGACAAGGACGUAAGCUAUGAUUGCUUCGAUGUAGAAAAAGAGCUCGAUGAACUAGAAUCAAUAAAGAUGGUAAAGAUACCAAAAAUUAAUACCGAUACAACGCCCAUACGCAACGGUAGCGUCAUCAUGAAGGCGGCUACCGAAGCGCUCGGAGUAGUUACACCCAAUGCAAUGCUCGAAUCAGAAAAUCUUGAAAUAAUUGCGAGCCUUAAAGCCGUAAAUACUCCUGCUGUACAAAAAAUGGCGGAUAAAGUGGAGAAAGACUUUUGUUUCUCAGAGCACAGAGCAGAACAGUCCUUAUUAACCGUCCAGGCAAAGAGCGACAGCACAUUCGAUAGAAGUAUUGAAUGUGACAAUACAACCAGUUCGAAUGGUUCCACAUUUGAGAAGGAAUACGAAACCUUCAUUAAUAAGAUAGGAAAUGAGUUUGAAUACAAGGUUAACAGUAACAAUGAGAACAAUUUUACUGCAGCUGUAAGCAACAAAUUAGUUCAUUCUGAUAUCAAUACAAAUGUUGCCGUAAACCAGGAAGUGCCAACAAAUGAAAUAAAUAACACAGCGGUCAAACUAAAUACAGAAAGUGAUAUGGAGAUAGCACAAAAAAUUAAAAGUUUUUCGAAGUUUCAUAAACGGAAACGAAAAUUUUCGGAAACGACCAAUAAUGCAAGUAAAAUUCCGAAGCAAUCGCACGAUCUUGAACAAGAAGUGAAUAAGGAAACUAAUUUUAUAGAGACCUUCUCCAAACCUUGCAGAAAAAAAGACUAUAAUGUCCCUUUACACACACUUCGCUUGAAAUAUAUAAAAAAAAGAGAAAACAAAGGUCCUUCUUUCUAUCAACGGAGGAUACGGGCACUAUAUCAUCAUUUCGUUAAGAUUAACAAACGACUUAUUAUAUCCAGUCUGUUAAGAGAAGAAAUGGUCAAAGUGUCGCAAAAACACUUACCGUUAAUCGACCGCAUAAAUAGCACUACACUACCAACUAGAGAUGGGAGCGAUAUCAAACAAUAUUUCAAUCCGAAAACAUUGAAAUUCCUAUGUGUGGCUUUCAUUAACUCAGAGCUGUUCCAAAACAAACUCUUGAAGGGUGUUGAAAUUUCAAAAGAAAUUGAUAAAAUCCCAGAAACAAAUAUCAAUGAGGAAAGUGUAAGGGAUAGUCCAAUACCACAAGAGGUGAAAGAUUGUGAAGCGAAAGAAAAUACUAUCAACGAGGUCUGUAAUAAGAUAACAUGUCCACCUUCAUUGUCAUCAUUCGUUGCAGAAAACAUUUUUGAAGAGAAUGUUCGAAACGAAGUUUCUGAUAGAACUUCAGAAAUUGACGAGUCAGAAUAUUCAAAACAGUUACCGGAAGAACCACCAAUAGCUGAAUUGGGUCUCGAGAGCAUUGAGGUUACUCAAAACGACAUUAAUUUGAAGAAUCACAUUGAUUUUGACAUGCCAACUACUUUGGAUGUGAAGGAUUCAAAAAUGGAGCUUGAUAGCAUUGAAACGGAUGAAAUCGAAAAAGAAGUUCACAGUCCUGAUUGUAUUACAGAACCAAUGGUUCAUAGUGUGGAAGCUAAUGCAGAAAGCAUUAACACAAGGCCUAAAUAUGAUGAUAAACAUGACCGAAAUGUUGAUAGAAUGGGAAUUAAAGAAAUUGAAUCCGAAGCCUAUGAUGGUGAUAUAUCAGGUGAUGGUGAAAUCGUAACCACGAAACUUUUAACAAAAGGCAUUGACAAACCCUUUUCCGAUUUAAAUACAAGUGUAAAUAUGAUGGAUAUUUUAGAGAACCAGUGGAUUUGCAAUGAAAGUGUUGAAAACAGAGUGCCUGAUGUAGAGAACUUGGCAUGUUUAACCAAAGAUCUCGUAAACCAAGUAAUUCCACCAAAUGAUUCUGAAGAUCAUGUGAAUGAGAUCACCGAAAAUACCAGACAAAAAGCGACAGUUACUGAUUUAGUUCACGAGAAUGUUGAAAAUAGGGAGUUGGAAGCAAUGGAUCUGACGUGUUCCGCAGGAGUUGAGGAGAAUUCAAUACAUAAUCAGAAAACAGAAGUACCUGAAUGUGCAAUCUCCGUACCUCAGAAUGAGAUAACGUUAUCUGAAUUUUCAGGACCGUGCAGCAAUAUGGAUCUCGAAGACGCAUUUAAGGUUGCUGAAUAUCCAUCAAGAAUUGAUGGAAGUCCUUUAUCCGUCAUGGAAGUUGCUGUAAGUCCACCCACAACUCCGCAUAUGGGUUCUCCAGUACAUAUGAAGAGCGAAAACAGUAAUGACACAGACAUUAUAAUGCUAAACGCAUUUGAUUUAGGCGAGCAAGCAAAACAACCAAAUCACUUCAAUAGAGAUGUAGAUUUAUCUGAAACAGAGAAUAGCCUUGAUAUGUUUGGAGCUAGAAGAAGUGCAGAACAUUUCACAACAACGUCGAAAAAUUACUUCACGACGAAUAUGGAUCUUGACGAAAAUUCAUCAGACAGUAAUUCAUCGAGUAGUGCUGAUUCAUCCACAUCAUCUUCUAGCCGCAUAUCGAGCACAUCCUCAUCGUCCAGUUCCAGUUCGUCCACGGACGAAAAUUCUCAAAGUAGCUUAACAACGGUACAAAGCGAUUUCAAUGAAAUGAAGGAGUUGGAAAGAGAACUCUCGCAACAUCAGGCAAAUGAAGCGGGUAUCUCAAUAGAGCUUGAAAAUGGCGAAAAGACUGCGGCAGCGACCAAUAUCGAAGAUAACUGUGGCAAUGAAGUAUAUAUCAAUUCGUCGAAAACUAUAACGGAGAACGACAUUAAAACCUUGAAAAAAAUAUUAGAAAGUGAUAGUGACGGGCAUGAAGAGAUAAGUACAAACCGUGAGGAUGUUAAAGCCGAGCUUGAAAAUGGCGAAAAGACUGCGGCAGCGACCAAUAUCGAAGAUAACAGUGGCAAUGAAGUAUAUAUCAAUUCUUCGAAAACGAUAACGGAGAACGACAUUAAAACCUUGAAAAAAAUACUAGAAAGCGAUAGUGAUGGACAUGAAGAGAUAAGUGCAAACCUUGAGGAUGUUAAAGCCGAUACAAUAGACGUUGAAAAGCUAAGUGCCGACAAAACAACAAGCGUUUCGAAAGAGCAACAAACAGAUACAGUAAAUGGUGUGGCGGAAGAUAACAAACUAAUGCAAAAUGAAGAUUGCGUUGCAAGUAACGGUGAAGUAAACGUGACAAUGCCUACGGCAGAGCGUGACUGUAUUGGUACGGAGGUGGUGGAAGAGUGCGUAGAGAGUUGCGAGAAGUCGUGCGAUGUCGAAGGUUUGGCGCGUGAACUCGCAGUGGAUGAAGACCAGCCGCAGAACGAACCUGUGUUUUGCGCAGCAAUAAAUAUCGAUGAUAAUGAUGAUGACAGCAGUGGAGUACCGAGUUUGAAGAAACUAUCGCUGGACUAUAUAGAGCGAGUAACUUCCAUUGAAAAUCAUACGCUAAAUAACCGAACUGAGGAUGCGUUAAAUAGUAAAAUACCAAAGCUAAGUGACCUUUGUAAAAUUGCCUUAAGUAGUUCCUUUGAAAUUAGCGCCAACAACAACAGUAACAACAACACAAACCAAAACACGCCCGAAGCGUUAGAGCGUGAAUUGAGCGUUGAAGAAGCUUUAGCCGAAAUGUAUCGACAAGCCGGUGUCACAUCAGAUCCCGAAGAUGGCGAUGCUGAGGAGAGAGAAGCUCAAGAUGUAGUACUAAUUAAUUUAGAAGAAAUUUUAGUUAACGAUAGUGAUUUAUAUGUUUUACAAUGUGAUAUGAAUGAAAAUGUGCUCAGCGUUGUGGCGCAUGCGCAGGCCAGCGAUUUGCCCAUGCAAGUCGAUGAAGGUGUAGAAGAUAUUGAAAGAACUGUAAAUGCUGAAAUGCAUGCAGAAGAAAUGAUGGGUUUAGAAAGUCCACAAGAAGAGGUGGUAGUGACCGAUGAUAUGCAAACCGAUUAUCUCGAGUCAUUAGUGAAUGUACACGAUGCCGUAGAUAAUUCCCCAUCUGCACUACCGUUAACCCCAUACAUUACACCCCCACACACAGUAGAGUACGUUGAAGAUGAGUUGAGGAUCACGAACGAUGACUCACUCAAUACACAAUUCGAUUUUCCCGCCAUACAUCACGAAGAAAUCGUCUCGCAUGAUUACAAGCGGCUCAAACGACAGGCCCCACCAUGGUAAUCGUGUACUCAAAAAAUAUAUACAUCGUUGGAUAUUGCAAUGCUUGAUAGCGAGAUUCAGGGAGCGCGAAUUGAGGAAGGCCCACAUGUAUGUCGAAGAGUAGUGAGGGUGUUAAUUAAAGAUUUCAUCGUUCGAGAUAUUUCUUGGUGUGCAAAAUAUUAAUGAAAAUUUUCAAAAUAUGUAAUAAUACUUGAAUAAAGCUAACAAAUAUAACCCAAUCUUAUUACGUGACUCUGAAAAUCAUAUUCUACUCUGUCGUUAACUCAUUAAAUCGAUUUGCAAAUACAAAACACGCAUACAAUUUUCUUAAAUACACAAACAGUAUAAACUUUUUCAAUCAGUUUUAAAAUAUUGAUUCGCCAUAAUAUAUUUUGUUGCAGCAUUACCAAAAAUAAGAUAAUAAUAUGACAA